GAUGAACGCUGGCGGCAGGCUUAAUACAUGCAAGUCGAACGGUAACAGUACCUAGCAAUAGUAGCUGUACGAGUGGCGCACGGGUGCGUAACGCGUAUGCAACCUACCCAUAAUUGGAACAUAACGUUGAGAAAUUAACGCUAAUAUUCCCAUGUGAAUAUGAAGGGGCAUCUUUUUAUAUUUAAAGAUUUAUUGAUUAUGGAUGGGCAUGCGUAUCAUUAGCUAGUUGGCGAGGUAACGGCUCACCAAGGCGACGAUGAUUAGGGGUUCUGAGAGGAUAUCCCCCACACUGGAACUGAGACACGGUCCAGACUCCUACGGGAGGCAGCAGUAGGGAAUAUUGGGCAAUGGAAGCAAUUCUGACCCAGCCAUGCCGCGUGAAGGAAUACAGCCCUAUGGGUUUUAAACUUCUGUUCUUGGUGAAGAGGGGAAGACGGUAGCCAAGGAGGAAGCCCCGGCUAACUACGUG
rnacentral:rRNA from 1 species